rnacentral:rRNA from 1 species
UACGAAGGGGGCUAGCGUUGCUCGGAAUCACUGGGCGUAAAGCGCACGUAGGCGGCUUUUUAAGUCGGUGGUGAAAUCCUGGAGCUCAACUCCAGAACUGCCUCCGAUACUGAUAGGCUCGAGUCCGGGAGAGGUGAGUGGAACUGCGAGUGUAGAGGUGAAAUUCGUAGAUAUUCGCAAGAACACCAGUGGCGAAGGCGGCUCACUGGCCCGGUACUGACGCUGAGGUGCGAAAGCGUGGGGAGCAAACAGG